rnacentral:rRNA from 1 species
UGCGUAGGCGGUUUCGCAAGUUUGGUGUGAAAUCUCCCGGCUCAACCGGGAGGGUGCGCCGAAAACUGCGGGGCUGGAGCAUGGGAGAGGUAGGCGGAAUUCCUGGUGUAGCGGUGAAAUGCGUAGAUAUCAGGAGGAACACCGGCGGUGUAGACGGCUUACUGGACCAUGACUGGCGCUGAGGCACGAAAGCGUGGGGAGCAAACAGGAUUAGAUACCCUGGUAGUCCACGCCCUAAACGAUGCACACUUGGUGUGAGCGAUUCAUUUCGUUCGUGCCGGAGCUAACGCGUUAAGUGUGCCGCCUGGGGAGUACGGUCGCAAGGCUGAA